GCUGGGCGUGGUGGCGCGUGCCUGUGGUUCCAGCUACUCAGGAGGCUGAGGUGGGAGGAUUGCUUGAGACCAGGAGGUCAGGACUGCAGUGAGCUGUGAACAUGCCACUGCACUCCAGCCUGGGAAACAGAGCAAGACUCUGUCUUUA
ensembl:misc_RNA Metazoa_SRP Metazoan signal recognition particle RNA